CUGGUGUCAGCCGCCGCGGUAAUACCAGCACCUCGAGUGGUCAGGACGUUUAUUGGGCCUAAAGCAUCCGUAGCCGGCUCUGCAAGUCUUCGGUUAAAUCCACCUGCUCAACAGAUGGGCUGCUGGAGAUACUACAGAGCUAGGGAGUGGGAGAGGCAGACGGUAUUCAGUGGGUAGGGGUAAAAUCCUCUGAUCCAUUGAGGACCACCAGUGGCGAAGGCGGUCUGCCAGAACACGUUCGACGGUGAGGGAUGAAAGCUGGGGGAGCAAACCGGAUUAGAUACCCGGGUAGUCCCAGCUGUAAACGAUGCAAACUCGGUGAUGUAUUGGCUUAUGGCCAAUGCAGUGCCGCAGGGAAGCCGUUAAGUUUGCCGCCUGGGAAGUACGGACGCAAGUCUGAAACUUAAAG
rnacentral:rRNA from 2 species